AUGAGGAAGAACGUUGGUGGUGAGCUGAUUAAACCGAAUGCCACCCGGUUUGGAACUGUGUUUAUGUUCCUUGAGAGUUAUUUGGAGAAGAAAGAUAAAUUUAGGAAAUGGAUGGUGUCCGACGACUGGAAGAACAGUAUUUGGAAGAAUGAUGCGGACCAUGUGUUUGCUGAAGAGUUGCUAUCCAGUAACAUGUGGUGGACAGCCUUAGAAUGGGUUCUUGAUUUGCUUGAGCCACUCUAUGUAGCCCUCAGAUAUGCUGAUACACAAAAGAAAUGUACUCUAUCUGGUUUCAAGAAGACUAUGAUGACAGCCAUACAAAAGAUGAGUUCUCAUCUUGGUGGUGGGUCACAGAUGUUAGAUAGAGUCAUGAGCAAGGUGUCCCCGAGGAUGGAAGAUAUGCAAAAUGAGACACUAAUGGUUGCAGCUGCUGUCCUUGAUCCGUUCACACAUUAUCGGGUGAAUUUGAGCAACCUUCCAGAAUAUGCUUCUGCACUAACGGAUGUCAUCGAGAAGAUAGCAGACCCUGAGAGCGCUCUUUUGGCUAUCAAUGAAAUCAGCACUUAUAGGGAAUGUCGUGGGAGGUUUAGGCAUAGUUUGGCACGCUCUUCCGCAGAAAGAAUGGCACCAACUGAGUGGUGGUUCCAGUUUGGAGGGGAAGUUCCUAAUUUGCAGAAGUGGGCAUUGAGAAUUGUUUCACAGUGUGUCUCUUCAAGUGGCUGUGAGAGGAAUUGGACUGCUUUUGCCUUGGUCCACACGAAGCAAAGAAAUCGCCUUCUAUACUGCAAGCUUCACAAAAGUGUUUCUGUACGCUACAACCUGAAGUUACGUGCUGUAGAAGAUGAAGAUAUUGUGAAGCUGAGUUAUAGGGAGAAGGAAAUUGAUCCAUGUGCAGUGAUGAUGGAUACAGUUAUGCAUGACGAAUCAAACCCAAUGAUGGAGUGGCUGAACGAGGAUGAAGAGCAUAUAGUCCUUGAUGGAUCUGAUGCUGCUACUGCUGUGUUGGAGGAAAUACGUCGCCUUAACUCAAGGAGGAAAGCCUCUCAUCUUGGAAGGAAGGAAAUUAGCAGGAAAGGAAAGAGGGUACGUGAAGAUGAGGAGGAUGAGUUCAUUAGCAGUGAGGAUGAUGAUGAAGCGAAUGGAUCCAUGGACAUUGAUGAUGGUGAUGAUGGCCAAGAAGAGGAUGAUGAAUCUGAUGGAGAAGGUUUGCCAAGACAAGCUGAAAAAGAUGCACGAAGCCAAGUGAAUGAUAUUGAGGUAACAAGGGAUGAAAAUAUGGUGAAUCGUAGAUCUGGACGGCAAGCCAAGAAGGUCAAGGACGUCAACUCCCUUUACUAUUAG
rnacentral:rRNA from 1 species